UACGUAGGGGGCAAGCGUUGUCCGGAAUCAUUGGGCGUAAAGAGCGCGUAGGCGGCCCAGUAAGUCCGCUCUGAAAGUCAGAGGCUCAACCUCUGAAUGCGGGUGGAUACUGCUGGGCUAGAGUCCGGAAGAGGCGAGUGGAAUUCCUGGUGUAGCGGUGAAAUGCGCAGAUAUCAGGAGGAACACCAAUAGCGAAGGCAGCUCGCUGGGACGGUACUGACGCUAAGGCGCGAAAGCGUGGGGAGCGAACAGG
rnacentral:rRNA from 1 species